rnacentral:rRNA from 1 species
CCUGGCUCACGACGAACGCUGGCGGCGCGCCUAACACAUGCAAGUCGAACGAGCGAGAGAGAGCUUGCUUUCUCGAGCGAGUGGCGAACGGGUGAGUAACGCGUGAGGAACCUGCCUCAAAGAGGGGGACAACAGUUGGAAACGACUGCUAAUACCGCAUAAGCCCACGGGUCGGCAUCGACCAGAGGGAAAAGGAGCAAUCCGCUUUGAGAUGGCCUCGCGUCCGAUUAGCUAGUUGGUGAGGUAAUGGCCCACCAAGGCGACGAUCGGUAGCCGGACUGAGAGGUUGAACGGCCACAUUGGGACUGAGACACGGCCCAGACUCCUACGGGAGGCAGCAGUGGGGAAUAUUGCACAAUGGGGGAAACCCUGAUGCAGCGACGCCGCGUGGAGGAAGAAGGUCUUCGGAUUGUAAACUCCUGUUGUUGGGGAAGAUAAUGACGGUACCCAACAAGGAAGUGACGGCUAACUACGUGCCAGCAGCCGCGGUAAAACGUAGGUCACAAGCGUUGUCCGGAAUUACUGGGUGUAAAGGGAGCGCAGGCGGGAAGACAAGUUGGAAGUGAAAUCUAUGGGCUCAACCCAUAAACUGCUUUCAAAACUGUUUUUCUUGAGUAGUGCAGAGGUAGGCGGAAUUCCCGGUGUAGCGGUGGAAUGCGUAGAUAUCGGGAGGAACACCAGUGGCGAAGGCGGCCUACUGGGCACCAACUGACGCUGAGGCUCGAAAGUGUGGGUAGCAAACAGGAUUAGAUACCCUGGUAGUCCACACCGUAAACGAUGAUUACUAGGUGUUGGAGGAUUGACCCCUUCAGUGCCGCAGUUAACACAAUAAGUAAUCCACCUGGGGAGUACGACCGCAAGGUUGAAACUCAAAGGAAUUGACGGGGGCCCGCACAAGCAGUGGAGUAUGUGGUUUAAUUCGACGCAACGCGAAGAACCUUACCAAGUCUUGACAUCCCUUGACAGGCAUAGAAAUAUGUUUUCUCUUCGGAGCAAGGAGACAGGUGGUGCAUGGUUGUCGUCAGCUCGUGUCGUGAGAUGUUGGGUUAAGUCCCGCAACGAGCGCAACCCUUAUGGUCAGUUACUACGCAAGAGGACUCUGGCCAGACUGCCGUUGACAAAACGGAGGAAGGUGGGGAUGACGUCAAAUCAUCAUGCCCUUUAUGACUUGGGCUACACACGUACUACAAUGGCGUUAAACAAAGAGAAGCAAGACCGCGAGGUGGAGCAAAACUCAGAAACAACGUCCCAGUUCGGACUGCAGGCUGCAACUCGCCUGCACGAAGUCGGAAUUGCUAGUAAUCGUGGAUCAGCAUGCCACGGUGAAUACGUUCCCGGGCCUUGUACACACCGCCC